rnacentral:rRNA from 1 species
GACGAACGCUGGCGGCGUGCUUAACACAUGCAAGUCGAACGGAAAGGCUCCAGCUUGCUGGAGUGCUCGAGUGGCGAACGAGUGAGUAACCCGUGGGCAAUCUGCCCUGCACUCUGGGAUAAGCCUGGGAAACUGGGUCUAAUACCGGAUAGGACCUUUCUCCCCAUGGGGUUUGGUGGAAAGUUUUUCGGUGCAGGAUGAGCCCGCGGCAUAUCAGCUUGUUGGUGGGGUAACGGCCGACCAAGGAGAUGACGGGUAGCCGGCAUGAGGGGGAGAUCGGCCACAAUAGGACUGAGGUACGGACCAGACGGCAACGGGGGGCAGCAGUCGGGAAUAUGGCACAAUGAGCGAAAGUCUGAUGAGGCGGCGCCGGGUUAGGGAUGACGGCCUUCGGGUUGUAAACCUCUUUCGGUAAAGACGAAGCGCAAGUGACGGUACCUGAAGAAGAAGCACCGGCUAACUACGUG